AUUGUUAUUUUAAAUAAAAUUAUGAAAAAUAAUUUUAAAACUUCUGAUUCAAUGUUUAAUAAAGUAAACAUUAAUAGCUUAAAAUUUAUUAAGGACUCACAAAAUCAAUAGCUCUUUGGGGUCCUUAAUAAAUUUUAAGAGUUAAAAGGGCUCUUGAGGCCAAUGUGUAUGAAAGACAGUGUGCUACAGAAAGAAUGUGUGUUCAGUAAUUGCAACUGACUCUUGAACAAGGCAGAAGUUAGGGAUGCUGACCCCUGACACUGUUAAAAAUCCAAGUAGAACUUCUGAGCCCCCCGAAAAAACUUAACUGCUAACAGAGCCUACUGUUGACUGCAUGCCUUACUGAUAACACAAAUAACUGACGAGCACAUAUUUUGUAUGUUGUAUGUUUUAUAUACUGUAUUCUCACAAUAAAGUAAGCAAGGGAAACUUUUUGAAGAAAAUCAUAAGGAAGAGAAACUAUAUUUAUUAUUAAGUGGAAGCAGAUCAUCACAAAAUCUUCAUCCUCAUUGUCUUCUUGUUGAGUAAGCUGAGGAGGAGGGGGAGGAAGAGGGGUGGGUCUUGCUGUCUCAGGGGUAUCAGAAGUGGAGGAAAAUCCACAUGUAAGCGGACCUGUGCAGUACAAGUCCGUGUUGUUCAAGGAUCAAUUGUACAUGAUAAUAUGUAAUUAAGUCUAAACUGUGUUUAGUAUCUGCCUCCCAUCUUUAAAGUGACUUGCCUAAUGUAAGGAAUAUAGGCUUUUUGAUUUAGCACCUUCUUCAGAAGAACCACUCCUCUGCCAUUCUCAGUGCAAGUGGCUGAUCCUACUCUCUGGAUCCAGAGGACGUUGGCAUGUGUUGCAGAACUUACUAAGUAUAGUACUACGUUCCUGAAGAAAUGGUCGGGUGGCCCAGACAGGCCAACAAAGGAAUGUUUGUAACUUCAAUUUUGGUUGUGUUGCUAGCUCUGUGAAUGCAGCCUGCAAAUGCAGCCUGCAAAUACAGCCUGGAGCUGCUGGUGGCUGUCUUUGCUAACAAGUGGAAAAAUGAUUACAAUGUAGCUAACAUAGACAGUAGGGACAAGUGGAAAAAAAUGUGUACUGAUAAUACUGAACUCUAUAAUCAACAUAUUUGAAGACAUGGAUUUUCUAGUUGGGGAAGUCAAGAAAUUCCUUCUAUUUAAGCUUUUAUAAGCUGAAUUUAUAUUAUCUGCAUUGAAGUGAGCCCUAAUAAAUACUGUAUUUGAUAGUUGGAAGUGGAGUGUUGCAUAUGACAGACCCUAGUGACAUUGGAUAAGCUGAGGUGAGAGGGAGGAUUCCCCCAUUGCAGGGCAAAAGGCAAAUGCUGUUCACUGAAAGCAAAGCAGACAGUUAAAAGAUGCUUAAUGUGUAUCUGAACUCAAAUCAUACAGUCAUGUGUUGCUUAACAACAGGAACAAGUUCUAAGUAACAUGUCAUUAGGCGAUUUUGUCAUUGUGGGGACAUCCUAGAGUUUACUUACACAAACCUAUAUGGAAUAGCCUACGACAUACCUCAGCUAUAUGAUGUAGCCUAUUGCUCCUAGGCUACUAACCUGUACGGCAUGCUACUGUACUGAAUACUGUAGGUACCUGUAACACAAUGGUUAAGUAUUUGUGUAUGUAAACACUUCUAAACAUAGAAAAGGUACUGUAAAAGUAUAAUCUUAUGGGACCACCAUCGUAGAAGCAGUCUGCUGUUGACUGAAACAUCAUUAUGCAAUACACGACUUGACUGUAAAUAUCAAGGAUAGAGUAUUAUGGAAGUGGGGAAAAGAUGCCUGAAUUUUGGAGGGUGUUGGCUACUUCUUUUAGCCUUCAGUAAGACCAUACAGGAAAGGAACAGUCUUCAGUCUAAUCUGGCAGUUGCAGAAGGAAAAAGGAAAAGGGAUUUGGUCCUUCCUAAGAGUCAUCCUUUUUGCCUGCUCCUGGCCCUCCAAAACGGUCAAUAGCAGAUAACCAUUGACCUUUAGGAUGUGUAAAUCUCUGCCCCAUGCUAAAUUUAGUACAAGCAGGAAACAUAAUGGAAAAAGAGGUUGGGAUCUUGGUCAACCAGGGACUUGCUGCUGUAUAUUCAAAGAGAGCAGGUACAACUCUGCUCCAAAAGCCAUACCCAGGAAUUCCACCACUGAGGGUUAGGAUCUGUGUGAUUUCAGCCCAUUGUCUCCAAGUGUGAGGUCCAAAUGGCUAGAGAGAGGAGCAGAGCAUAAAGGCUGAUUGCUAAGAGGGAGAAUCAGUGAGGUUUGGAACCAGGCUGAUGGGCCCUGACUCCACAAAAGCUCUGGCUUUGUUACCAUUGCAAGGAGUAUCCAAGAAAUUAACAGAGCCAACAGCCAACAGAUCUGUCAGGAGAGGCUGUGGUAUUGCCAGUGAAAUUCCAAAGCUCACCGAACAGACCUGAGAAUGCCUAACUUACAGGGCAAAUUUUCAGUGUCCAAACCCACACAAACAGGAAGGAGGAACUGAAAUGUUCUAGCUGUUAGAACAGAAACCUCCCAGUGUCCAUCUGACACAUACCUGUGCAAGACAGUGGAAAAAGGACUUCCUCCCAGAAAGCAGUAAAGGGCCAGCCAGAUUCCUGAACAAAGAACUCCCUCCGCUGUCAGGCUGGAAGUGUCCAUCUGACUCACCUGGAAUCACUGAGUUCUAUUUGGGAUAAAAGUAGAAGAAAAUAAGACACUUUGGGUCUGAGGCAUGGUGUCUAAUUUAGCUUGAUCAGCAAUAAAGUAUUUAAUUUUCUCUCUU